GAUGAACGCUGGCGGCGUGCCUAAUUCAUGCAAGUCGAGCGAACAGACGAGGAGCUUGCUCCUCUGACGUUAGCGGCGGACGGGUGAGUAACACGUGGAUAACCUACCUAUAAGACUGGGAUAACUUCGGGAAACCGGAGCUAAUACCGGAUAAUAUAUUGAACCGCAUGGUUCAAUAGUGAAAGACGGUUUUGCUGUCACUUAUAGAUGGAUCCGCGCCGCAUUAGCUAGUUGGUAAGGUAACGGCUUACCAAGGCAACGAUGCGUAGCCGACCUGAGAGGGUGAUCGGCCACACUGGAACUGGGACACGGUCCAGAUGGCGACGGGAGGCAGCAGGAGGGAAUCUGCCGCAAUGGGCGAAAGCCUGACAGAGCGACGCCGCGUGAGGGAUGAAGGUCUUCGGAUCGUAAGACUCACUUAUUAGGGAAAAACAAAUGUAUAAGUAACUAUGCACGGAUGAAAGGUACCUAGACAGAAAACCGAGGCUAACUACAUG
rnacentral:rRNA from 1 species